CUCCUCACUUCCCCCCGCUCCUCAUCCCCUAACCCUAGCCCAUUCUCUGCGACGCCGCCGCCUCCCGUCCCCUGGCGCCGCCACCAUGCCCACUCGCCGUCGCGCCCGCUCGUCCUCGCUCCCUCGCGCCCUCCCCUUCUCCCCGCCCUCCUCCUGCUCAGCAGGAGGAGUGCGGCUCACCGUCGUGGACUACGGCGCUCCUCCCGCCUCUCCCCAUCGCCCCCCCUCCCCCCCGCCUCUCCCUGGAGCCUGCUCCGGCGGCCAGAUCCACGACGCCUAGUGAAUCCAUACAUCACUAACCCGGUCAGUGGUUAUGAAUUUCGCUCUCUGAAGGACGUGCAACGUUAUAUUGAAUCAGGAGACACAAGUAAAUGCAAUGUUAGGCCAAAGAAGAGAACUGCCCAGGAUGCUUGUAUUACACAGAAUCAAGAUUAUGUUGGUCCACUGUCUACGGGUGCUCGUGGUUCUGGUUGGUUCGUCCAGCUAUGUCUUCGGCAUCGCUCUACAGAGAGCUACAAUCGCACAAGGAAAUCUAAACAGCCGGCUGGGUAUUGAUAAGAAAUACCAAUUUAAGAGGACCGUGAGAGAGCUCGAGGGAAGAACGUAGUUGAUGACCAUAUUUGGUGCCUUCUGGUGCAAACAGUGGAAGUCUUUAAGUGAGCAUAUAUUCAUGUCGAACUUCUAAGCUAUUGACUCUUUGAUUGCCUGAUCCCCUUCAUCCUUCACUGUAGGGCUUGGCAUAAAGAACACAUAAAUAUAUAUUCAUGUGAAAUUGAAAUUCAGACAACCUUAGAUGAACAUUUUUUCAUGUCAGUGGAUUGAUAGUUGUACUUAA